AGAACAAGUUAAAAAUAUUUGGAGAUGAUUGAGACGCGUAAUUUUUUCGAAUGAGAGUUACGGUCACCUGGCACAGUGAGCUACUCUCUGUUGUUUGGGGUCAGCAGAAUCUGAGUAGAUGCCAUCUUUUCUUGCUGCAUUUUUCCAUGGAAUAGAAAUUUAUGGAAUUUCCCAUCUAAGAAGUGGCAUAGGAUCUGUCCUGAUCAGCCCUAAAGCCAGUUUUUCAUGCACCUAAGAAAGACAAUUAGUCUGUUUCCAUGCUGAGGAGAUGCUGAAUGGUUGAUAAUUGCACUGAUCAGAGCUCGCAUGUGGAGUCAGAAAUCCUGGGCUCAGACUGAACUCAAAUAGGCUUUGCUGCUUCAGUU